AGAGUUUGAUCCUGGCUCAGGACGAACGCUGGCGGCGUGCCUAAUACAUGCAAGUCGAGCGGAGUUAUUCCUUCGGGGAUAACUUAGCGGCGGACGGGUGAGUAACACGUAGGCAACCUGCCUGUAAGACUGGGAUAACCCACGGAAACGUGAGCUAAUACCGGAUAAGUAAGCUCCUCGCAUGAGGGACUUAAGAAAGA
rnacentral:rRNA from 1 species